rnacentral:snRNA from 1 species
UCAGCUCUCUUGCCAUUUGGCUAAGAUCAAGUUGAAGUAACUGUUCUUCUCAGUUUAGUCUCUGGGACGUGCCUACGGGUACUCUAGUGAUUAAACCAGUUUUUGGAAACCGGUCGGCGGCCGCUGAACUCCGUUCAUGUCGCUGGUCACAGUGUCGCCAGUAUUGCACUGUCUCUGGCUGACGCAAAUUUCA